rnacentral:rRNA from 1 species
UACGAAGGGGGCUAGCGUUGCUCGGAAUCACUGGGCGUAAAGGGUGCGUAGGCGGGUCUUUAAGUCAGGGGUGAAAUCCUGGAGCUCAACUCCAGAACUGCCUUUGAUACUGAAGAUCUUGAGUUCGGGAGAGGUGAGUGGAACUGCGAGUGUAGAGGUGAAAUUCGUAGAUAUUGGGAAGAACACCGGUGGCGAAGGCGGCGAGCUGGCCUGUACCUGACGCUGAGGCGCGACAGCGUGGGGAGCAAACAGG